rnacentral:tRNA from 1 species
GCAUUGGUGGUUCAGAGGUACAGCUCUUGCCUUCCAAGCAGAAAACCCAGUUUGAUUUUCAGCCAAUGCA